rnacentral:tRNA from 1 species
GGGAAUGUGGCUAAGUGGUAGAGUGCUUGCCUAGCAUGCAUGAAGCCCUGGGUUCGAUUCCUUAGUACCA